UUUGAUGUGGAAAGUAAACACGCCGACAGUGUCUAGCCAAAAAAAAAAAAAACUCUCCCUGUAUUCUGCGAUUUCAAUUUUACUAUUGUGGAUUUGCAGUAAUCUUUUAAUGUUUUCUGUUUGUUUUCUUUUUGCGGUUGUAAAUGUGUUGGCUGUGAUUUCAGGUGAUCUCGUGUUUUGUUUGAGCCUGUUCCCACUUAAACCAGUGACCUUAAAAAAAAAAAAAAAAAAAAAACUCCCUGUGGAUGCCACUCCUUUUCCUUUGUAGCAACAUGACUUCAUCAUGAGGUAAAUCCGAUAAGUCGGCUUUCAAUUCAAAAUCGUACUCGCUUGUUAGUCAACCGGAUUGAUUGACGUCACCUCGGAGGAAGCGCUUUCUGACCCGCCAUUUUACCCCUAAAAAAAAAGUUGCACCCUUGAGACUUAUAUCCACGUGUCAUUCAUUAGAUCGCAAAAUUACAAACGAUUCCCGACAGAAGUGGGGUGGGCGAAAGAGCCGAGGAAGAUGCUAUCCAAUAAUAUUUCACCAUGAACGGUCUAAAAUGCUUUAUUAUCUCCCCCAAACACAAGGUAGGCUCAUAUUUAUUUGCUGUUAGCUGGUUGGCGCAUACGCGUGGCAAAGGAAGCUAUGACAACAAACAAUAUGGCAACGUUUGACGUCGGGCGUCUAAAAUGCCGUUACGACCUCCGCCAUCAACAAGAUGACAGCAUUGACAACAGUCAACCUCCGCAUACUUGCGGGAAUCGCUCAUUUGCAUAUUUGAUCAUCGUGUUUUGUUUUUUUGUAAUUUUGUCCCCCUUUCCCAUCAUUUUUCAUGUAAAAAAAGAUCUUCAAUGUUUGUCGUGUUUUAAGAAUUUUAGGGUGUUAAUUACAGAAACAACAAAGUUCCGUUAUAUUUUGUUGAGAUCUAAGGACGUUAAUUGUCUCCCUCUUUCGAAUCCAUUUGCUUUGUGGCCAAGUGGAGCUGUGACCUCCCCUUUUUGUAAUUACUGCCACCUACAGUUCUGGAGUGGUACAGCAUCCUCUUGAGUCGUUUUGCGCUUUCUCCGCUCACAACAUUUUGCACUUUAAACUCCUCUUAUCUCGGCACCUUAAAUGUUUUGGCCAUUAAAAAAAAUUGUCAUUGCAUUGUUUAACUGAAGAUCAAAUCAAUCUCGGUGCCGAGCACACACACGCACAAAACAAUUGGCGCUUAUCUUAUCGGAAUGCGACACCUACGCUAAAGUUCCUGCUUGCUCAUGAUGUAAUGGAAUCCAAGCGCGUUGACGUGAGGAAGGGCGAGUAAAAGUCCUAACUUGCCUGUCAUUUAAAGCCGUUAAAUUUCAGACCGUGCAUCAUCAUCUUAGUAAUGACUGCUUUGGUGAUUUUUUUUUUUUUUAAUUGUCCAUGCGUAAAACUGCAUCGUGUGUCUACAUGUUCAUGUGUAUUUGUGCGCCUGUGUGCGUGGUUACCCAUAACAGAUAAGAUUUCACAUCUCCGCUGCUAUGCUGUAAAACAACGUUGCCCAACCUUUGAGCCAAGGCACAUAUUUUAUAUUCGGAAAAAAAAAACAGGCUACUGAACUGGUGCUUGGCAAAAA